rnacentral:misc_RNA from 1 species
CAUAGCAGCAGAAGAGCCCUAUUCUGUUGUCUCCAAAGCAUAAAGAGAAAACAGCCAAACCGCUUCAUUCACCUUUUUCAUCUCAGAAGCUAGCAUCAUGUCGUGGCAGGCAUACGUUGAUGACAGCCUUAUCGGCAGCGGCAACAUGCACAGCGCUGCUAUUAUUGGAGCCGCUGAUGGCAGCUACUGGGCGUAUGGCGGUAGCUACGUUCCGCAGCCGGAAGAGGUGCAGCACAUCCAGAAGUGCUUGUCCGACUUCUCGCUCGUGCAGUCCUCUGGUGUGAAUAUUUACGGUGUCAAGUUCUUCGGCCUCCAGUGCGGCACCGACGGCGACUGCAAGUACAUCUUUUUCAAGAAAGGUGCAGCCGGCGGGUGCAUUUACACGACGAAGCAGGCAUUCAUCGUUGCCGUAUAUGGGAACCCCGGUGACACCUCCUCGCUUCAGCAGGAUCUUGAGAAGAACACGGCUCACACGGUCACCGUGAACCCUGCGGACUGCAACACUACAGUGAAGCGCAUAGCGGAUUACCUCAUUAAGCUUGGCUACUAAUUACCAGCGGUGUAUCUUACAAAAGAGAGGAAAGUCACUCAAGCCGAAAGAAUAGUAUUUUAGGGCGUCGCAAGAGCGGACGCGUGCGAUACUGCAUGGACGUUGCCUGAACUACUCGUUACAUGCAUUUAGACACUGCAUGCGUCGCAACUACCCAUCUGUUUACCUCACGCUAUCCCCUCCUCCUUUUUCCACUGUGACACUAUUCUGCCCUCCUUCGCUGGUUUCACCUGCGUGCUUUGAUGUUCGACCCUUCUCUGCGCUCUCGAUGGGCAUGCGAUGCUCCGGUAG